UUGAAACCUUUCCUCCCGAAGUAAACACGCAUCAUCGUAAGCUCCAGGAGCUAAACAAGGCUGUCAACCAGAGAAUGGUACGCUUUACCAUAGCUUGUUCCCCUCUUUGUUUUGGCUGUGACCCUCUCCCGGCAACGCCAUCUUGGUGCUUAAUUUUCUGAGGGGAAGAAAGAAAACGUCGGAGGCCUAUAUAAGGCCCACUGACACGGGAAAAAGCAAGUUCCCUUGAACAGGUCCGCAUAAGAUACGUACAGCUCCUUUGCACAGGUAUCAUGAUUAGCCAAAGGAUCAUCGUUGUAGCCGUCAUGGUCGUAAUCUUUAUGAUUGCGAUGGCCACCGCUCAAUUCGGUCCUGUCUACCCUCCUGGCUACGGAGUCGCCGCGCAACCCGCGCAACCGGUGCAGCCAGUGUACGCCGCAGUACCUGUACGGCCAAUUUACAAGGGACCCUUCGGCGGCAUGAGCCCAUACGCCUACGGACUUGGACGGCGCUGAGCUAUUCUGAGUAACCAAGGCCACUUCGCGCACCCUGGUUAAUCAAGAAAUAGACUCCACUGAUCUGUUCAUGCAAACACGUUGAAUCUUGUCCAGCCUCAAAAUUAGGCAUCCAGAUGAUUUGCUCCGCAAUAAGCCGUUUAUCUUGCAGGCUUUGUUGGCGAAGUUCUGGUGAUGAAGCUUUUAGAAAUAAAUAAGUGCGUAACUCUUUUCUCUG